GCCCCCUUCGGGGGGCAUCAAUCAAAAUUGGAACAAUACAGAGAAGAUUAGCGUAGCCCCUGGACAAGGAUGGUCUCGAUUGCUAGAAGCACCAAAACUUUUA
rfam:Gregarina niphandrodes unplaced genomic scaffold scaffold00028, whole genome shotgun sequence.